CCAUCGAGAGCUUCGCGGCGGACGUGGCGCAUGAAUUGAAGAACCCCCUCACCUCCCUGCGCUCGGCUGUGGAGACCCUGCCGCUCGCCAA
rfam:Azorhizobium caulinodans ORS 571 DNA, complete genome.